CAAUUUGGAGGAAGACAUUGAUCGGGGUGUCCGUAGGGAACAUCUCUUGACAUCUCAAGGACUUUAACCUUGCCACGGCUUUCUGUUCGGAAACCUCACUGGACAUCACUCUCAUGAUUGCCAAAAGUAUGGCUCUGUCUGUGGCCUCUAGAAGCGCUUUAUGGCUUCAUUCGUGGGGAGCGGACUAUGCAUCUAAGGCAUCCUUGUGUGGCCUUCCC